rnacentral:rRNA from 1 species
UACCCUGGUAGUCCACGCUGUAAACGAUGAGUACUAGGUGUCGGGGGUUACCCCCUUCGGUGCCGCAGCUAACGCAUUAAGUACUCCGCCUGGGAAGUACGCUCGCAAGAGUGAAACUCAAAGGAAUGGACGGGGACGCGCACAAGUAGCGGAGCAUGUGGUUUAAUUCGAAGCAACGCGAAGAACCUUACCUAAGCUUGACAUCCCAAUGACAUCUCCUUAAUCGGAGA